rnacentral:rRNA from 1 species
UACGUAGGGCGCAAGCGUUGUCCGGAAUUAUUGGGCGUAAAGAGCUCGUAGGUGGUUUGUUACGUCUGCUGUGAAAACCUAGGGCUUAACCCUGGGCUUGCAGUGGAUACGGGCAGACUAGAGGUAGGUAGGGGAGAAUGGAAUUCCUGGUGUAGCGGUGAAAUGCGCAGAUAUCAGGAGGAACACCGGUGGCGAAGGCAGAUCUCUGGACCGAUACUGACGCUGAGGCGCGAAAGCGUGGGGAGCAAACAGG